rnacentral:rRNA from 1 species
UCGAGGAUCUUCGGCAAUGGGCGCAAGCCUGACCGAGCGACGCCGCGUGCGCGAUGAAGGCCUUCGGGUUGUAAAGCGCUGUCGAGGGGGAGGAAAGCCCGUAAGGGUCUGACCUAUCCCUGGAGGAAGCACGGGCUAAGUUCGUGCCAGCAGCCGCGGUAAGACGAACCGUGCAAACGUUGUUCGGAUUCACUGGGCUUAAAGGGCGCGUAGGCGGGUGACCAAGUCCGGGGUGAAAUCUUUCGGCUCAACCGGAAAAUUGCCUUGGAUACUGGUCGUCUUGAGGGAGGUAGGGGCAUGUGGAACUUCCGGUGGAGCGGUGAAAUGCGUUGAUAUCGGAAGGAACGCCGGUGGCGAAAGCGACGUGCUGGACCUCUUCUGACGCUGAGGCGCGAAAGCUAGGGGAGCAAACGGGAUUAGAUACCCGUGUAGUCC